UUAUAUCAUUAAAAAAAAAAGAUUUGGCGGUAUUUUUAAGAAUUAGAGGAACUUGUAUAAUAAUUGAUAAUACACGAUAAGAUAAACUUUAUUUUUUAUGUAUUGCUGUUUUAAAAAAAAUAUUAAGUGUAUUUUUUAAUAUUAAUAUAAUAAUAAUUCAAGUCAAAGUGUAGAUUAUUUUAAUUAUGAGUUACAAUUUAAGUAUAAAAUUGGAUUUAAAAGUAA
rnacentral:rRNA from 1 species